CAAUAAUGGAUAGCGCCAGACCUGUUUUAGUACAGGUGACGAGGAUAGGGCUUAUCGAGUAUUCGGCGGGUGGUCCUAAGGGUCUGCACUCUUAAAGAGCAUGGUAAAAAGUUAGUGGUGACACUAUAACAGAACAGUGACUCGAGCAGAUAG
rnacentral:ncRNA from 1 species